AUCACUUCUUGGCCUUCUGACUAAGACCAAGUGCAGCAUCUAUUAUUAUCUUUAUGCAUCUCUGUCUGGGGAUUAUGUAUUAAAUGGAUUUUUGGAACUAGAAGAUGGUCUAGCAGCUUGCUUCUUCCUUUCCACAAAGUGUCUCCAGGAACUCCUU
rnacentral:snRNA from 1 species